rnacentral:rRNA from 1 species
GAGUAGUAAUAGCUAAGAUCUUAAAACUCAAAAGAUUUGGCGGUAUUUUAUCUUAUUGGAGGAACCUGUUUGUUAAUUGAUAUUCCACAACUAAAUUUACUUUUAUUAAUUUACUUGUAUACCGCCGUCAUGAAUAUAUUAAUAAAUUUAUUUUCCGGUUUUUAUAAAUUUCAUGUUAGGUCAAGGUGCAGUUUGUAAAGAUGAAAAUGGGUUACUUUGUUUAUUAUGAAUGUUUUUUGAAAAAGGAUUCAAAAGUAAUUUUAAUAGAAAUAAUAUGAAUAAAGAUUCUAAAAUAUG